rnacentral:antisense_RNA from 1 species
GAUUUGCUUGAGCCCAGGGGUUCAAGGCUGCAAUGAGCCAUGAUAGCACCACUGCACUCCAGCCUGGGCAACAGUGAGAACUUGUCUCAUAAAAUAAAAUAAAAUAAUAAAAUAAAUUAGCAAGGAUCAUCCUAUAUCAAACCAGCUUAAACAAAAAAGUGCUUUUGGUAACUGGAAUGGAUCCAACAGGAAGAAUGAGCUUAUGGAACCAGAGCAACUUGAAAAACUUUACAGCCUAGGAGUA